rnacentral:rRNA from 1 species
CGUAGCAUCAGUAGCAACACAGAGGUUCAGAUUCUGUGGUCUGAUUGAACGCUGGCGGAUGCUUUACAUAUGCAAGUCGAACGUGGCAGCACUGACUUACCUGGUGGCGAGUGGCGAAACGGGUGAGAAGGUAUCGGAACGUGCCUAGUAGUGGGGAUAUCUGCUGCUGAAAGCGUAGCUAAUACCGCAUAUUGCCUUCGGGGGAAAGUGGGGACCUUCGGCCCGCAACUGUUAGAGUGGCCGAUAUCGGAUUAGCUAGUUGGUGGUAACGGCUCGCCAAGGCGACGAUCCGUAGCUGGUUUGAGAGGACGACCAGCCACACUGGGACUGAGACACGGCCCAGACUCCUACGGAGGCAGCAGUGGGGAAUUUUGGACAAUGGGGGAAACUCCAUCCAGCCAUCCCAAGUGUGCGAUGAAGGCCUUCGGUUGUAAAGACUUGGCAGAGAAGAAACCGGCACCGGGAGUAAUACUCCCGUGCAACCGACGGUACCUGCAGAAUAAGCACCGCUAACUACGUGCCAGCAGCCGCGGUAACAGGUGCAAGCGUUAAUCGGAAUUACUGGCGUGAAGCGUGCAGGUGUUCAAAAAGAAAGAUGUGAAAUCCAGAGCUGAAUUCCCAGAACUGUACUUAACCACUGAGCUAGAGUGUGUCAGAGGGAGGUGGAAUUCCGCGUGUAGCAGUGAAAUGCGUAGAUAUGCGGAGGAACACCGAUGGCGAAGGCAGCCUCCUGGGAUAACACUGACGCUCAUGCACGAAAGCGUGGGGAGCAAACAGGAUUAGAUACCUGGUAGUCCACGCCCUAAACGAUGUCAUAACUAGCUGUUGGGGCCUUUCGCCUUGUAGCGCAGCUAGUGAAGUUGGACCGCCUGGGGAGUACGGUCGCAAGAUUAAAAACCUAAAGGAAUUGACGGGGACCCGCACAAGCGGUGGAUAUGGAUUAAUUCGAUGCAACGCGAAAAACUCCAUCACCCUUGACAUGUCUGGAAUCCCGAAGAGAUUUGGGAGUGCUCGCGCGAGAACCGGAACAGCAGGUGCUGUAUGGCUGUCGUCAGCUCGUGUCGAGAUGUUGGGUUAAGUCCCGCAACGAGCGCAACCCUUUGUCAACAGUUACGAAAGGGCACUCUAAUGAGACGCCGGUGAGCAAACCGAGGAAGGUGAUGACGUCAAGUCCUCAUGGCCCUUAUGGGCUAGGAUUCACACGUCAUACAAUGGUCGGGACAGAGGGUCGCCAACCGCGAGGGGAGCCAAUCCCCAGAAACCCGAUCGUAGUCCGAUCGCAGUCUGCAACUCGACUGCGUGAAGUCGGAAUCGAAGAAAAGUAAUCGCGGAUCAGCAUGUCGCGGUGAAUACGUUCCCGGGUCUUGUACACCGCCCGUCACACCAUGGGAGUGGCUUCAUCAGAAGUAGUUAGCCUAACCGUAAGGAGGGCGAUUACCACGGUAGGAUUCAUGACUGGGGUGAAGUCGUAACAAGGUAA